UAAAUUUUGAAGUUCCUUUUUUAAAAAAAGAAGCCACUAAACAAAGCCACAUCAGUGAAUUUAAUAUCUCAUACAUAUUGAUAUCUUUGAGGACCACCAACUAUGACAUUUUGUCCUAUUCAAAGUUUUUAUUUCCAGAUUACUCCUAUGAAUGACAAGCUCAUCCCCAAGAAAAAAUUAACUCAGUUAACAGAGCAUGCUAUGAUUUCCUCAGCUAUGGACGAUAGGGAGCAAGUUAAGUGAAAUACUCGGUAAAUAUCAUAACAACUAUGUGUUGGAUAAUACCGAGGGAAAGUGUUACCAAAGAUUGCAAUUAUCUAAGAAAUUAAAUCAGGUAGAAAGAUGGAUGUGAAUUGCAA
rnacentral:misc_RNA from 1 species